CUGAGACGGACCAAAAGUAUCAUAAUGAAAUACACAAAUCUUGAGGAACCUGGUCAACUCUAUGAUUCUUCAUCAGGGAGUGGAGAGGAAUACAUUCCAGAUACCACUUCUGAAAGCGACGGCAACAGUGAUGCCAGCCUUUGUCUAAAUCCAAGACAAAAACAGCAGUCUCUUGAUCAUCCGAUGGAUAUCUCUGGCCCUUUGAGUCCCACUGUCUGCGACUCCACCACAUCAGAUAAAAUGACUUUUGACAAUGACAGGCAUGGUGUUGCAUCUGAACUCACUGAAGUAUAUGAAGAACCUUGUUCAAGUCAGAGCCAAAAUAGCAGCGUAGUUGUUAAUGCAUGUAAAAAAAAAGAUGGGAAAAGAGUGUACGACAAGAGACAUUAUUGCUGGUACUGCUGUAAGCCUUAUGCUAAGAUAGCAAGGCAUCUCGAACGUGCACACAAAGACAAAUCUGAUGUAGCUAAGGCUCUAAGUUUCCCAAAGGGGUCCAAGAAGAGACAUGCACUGUUAGAUUAUAUCCGCAACAAGGGAAACUUUGCUCACAAUGCUUCUGUUAUGGAGUCAGGAAAGGGAGAACUGGUGCCGUUUAGAAGACCCACUAAAGAAGCACAGGGAAAUGACUUCAUGCACUGUGCAUAUUGUCAAGGACUUUACAAGCGAAAGGUCCUCUGGCAACAUAUGAACACUUGUAAAGUUAAACCUGGAUCAGUCGUCCCUACACCAGGAAAGAACCGAGUUCAGUCCAUGUGUGCAUACACAAUGCCUGUGCCGCCAAACAUUACUAAGAAGCUGUGGGGAGUAAUCAGUGCCAUGAAUCCUGACUUAGUCACAAAUAUAGUAAAAAAUGACCAAGUCAUUAUUGAUAUUGGGCAGCACCUGUUAAACAAAGGAGGGCUGUCAGCCAAGAAUCAACAGUGUGUGCGAGAAAAGAUGCGAGAAAUGGGAAGGCUGGUUGAAAAUGCCAGAAGAUACACCAGCUUAAAAAAAAUGGAAGACUUCAUAAAUCCAAAGAAGUACAUGGAGACUGUCAAAGCUGUUAAGGUUACAUGUGGGUAUGACAGUGAAACAAAUAAGUUCUUAAUUCCAUCACUAGCAAACAAACUUGGGAAUGCCCUGGUUAAAGUAAGUAAAUUCUUAAAAGCUCAGGGUUUAAUUACAAACAAUGAAGAGCUUGUGAGGAAUGCCACUGAUUUUCAAGCUGUACAUCAGGAAAAGUGGAAUGCCAUGAUUUCGGCUACAGCAUUGAGGAACAUCAGGGAGGCCAAGUGGAACAUGCCCACUCUCCUGCCCUUUACCGAAGAUGUCCAAAAACUGCAUUCAUAUCUCAAUCAAGUGCAUGAUAACGUGUACAACUCACUCUCUGAAAGUCCUUCCACUAAAGCCUGGAAGGAGCUGGCUAAGGUGUGCCUGGCGGACAUCAUCCUCUUUAACCGGCGCAGAGAAGGAGAGGUGGCAAACAUGACUUUAGCUACAUUUUCAUCACGGGACACUUCUGAUCCACAUGAGGAUGUGGACUGGGCACUCUCUGAAGUAGAAAAAAAACUCUGCAGACACUUCUCAAGGAUUGUCACUAGGGGAAAACGUGGUCGCCCAGUUCCAAUUCUUCUGACUCCAAAAAUGUUGAGUGCAUUAGAUCUCCUCGUUAAGCAGAGAGAGGCUUGUGGGGUUCUAAAAGACAAUUAUUAUGUGUUUGCAAGACCAGGAGCCAUGUCACAUUUUCGAGGUUCAGACUGCCUUCGUAAUUUUGCCAAGGAAUGUGGUGCCAAGUGUCCAAAGUUACUGACAUCUACCAGACUACGAAAGCAUGCUGCAACCCUUUCAACAGUGCUGAACAUGACAGACACCGAGAUGGACCAGCUGGCCAACUUUCUUGGACAUGACAUAAGAAUUCAUCGUGCGUUCUAUCGACUUCCUGAGAAGACUUUGCAGCUUGCCAAGAUCAGCAAAGUUCUAAUGGCCCUUGAACAAGGAAGACUGGCUGAGUUUCAUGGAAAGAACUUGGAUGAGAUUGGAAUAGAUCCAGAUGAAAAUGUUCUAGACUGUGAUGAAGACAGGUGCACACAGGAGGGAAGCUGUUCAUCUGCUGAAGAUGAACCAGCAGACGAGACACUUCCUCCCACUGAGAGAAAUGAAAUGCCACCACCACCCAAGAGAUUCAAGCCCCUACCAUCAGAUGAUAAUGUAGCAUCAGGGGUCACCUCUUCCUCCAAAGGUAAAUCUACUCGAACGAAGAAAACACCCUGGCAACAAACAGAGGUGCAAGCAGUGGAAAGACACAUGAAACGAUUCAUUACCUCUUUUACUGUACCGACAAAGAGUGACUGCGAGAAAUGUUUACAUGCUGAACCAGAAGCGCUUCAGAAAAGAGACUGGAAGAACCUGAAAUUUUACAUCUAUAACCGCAUUACAGCCUACAAAAAGUCAGUGCAACAUAAAUAAUGUAGUGAUUAGAGUUUCCUGCUGAGCAGUUUUUGUUUACAGUUAUGUCUCAGUCAAAUACACUAGUCUACUGAACAUGCUGAACAUGUUUCUUGUCUUUUUCAGACAUACUUGAACAUUGUACACCGCACUUUAUUUUCUCCUAAGUGACAAUUAUGGCCAAAAUGGCCAGUAUUUUUUUGUGAAAGUUGUAUUUAUGUUUUAUGUGAGGAAUUCAUUUUGUAAACCUCAGACAAAAGUGAGUUUGAUUUUUUUGAGGUCCAUUUCAUUUAUUUUUUUGAGUUUUUGAAGUUGAACACAAAGUUCAAUUCUGCAUUGCAUUCCUGAAAUGUGGGUUUAAUGUCUUCAGAUUCAUCACUCAGUAGUGGUGUAUUUUAGUGGUAAUAUUAGGUGCCAGCUGAUUGAGUAGUAUUUAGCUGAAGCUGGGUGGUAAACUGUUUAAAAAUAUUAACUAUAUUUGGCUUUGUGAAAGUUAAAGAAGGAAUAUUUCUUAAGAACAGGGACUUGAACAACCAAAAAUGUUACAUCUGUAACCGCAUUACAGCCUACAAAAAAUCAAUGCAACAUAAAUAAUUUAGUGAUUAGAUUUUCCUGUUGGACAGUUUUUGUUUACAGUCAUG
ensembl:lncRNA